rnacentral:rRNA from 1 species
UACGAAGGGGGCGAGCGUUGUUCGGAUUUACUGGGCGUAAAGGGCGCGUAGGCGGGCUGCCAAGUUUGGGGUGAAAUCCUCCGGCUCAACCGGGGAAGUGCCUUGAAUACUGGCGGUCUGGAGGGAGGUAGGGGCGUGCGGAACUAACGGUGGAGCGGUGAAAUGCGUUGAUAUCGUUAGGAACUCCGGUGGCGAAGGCGGCACGCUGGACCUUUUCUGACGCUGAGGCGCGAAAGCCAGGGGAGCGAACGGG